rnacentral:rRNA from 1 species
GACGAACGCUGGCGGCGUGCCUAACACAUGCAAGUCGAACGGAAAGGCCCUGCUUUUGUGGGGUGCUCGAGUGGCAAACGGGUGAGUAACACGUGAGUAACCUGCCCUUGACUUUGGGAUAACUUCAGGAACCUGGGGCUAAUACCGGAUAGGAGCUCCUGCUGCAUGGUGGGGGUUGGAAAGUUUCGGCGGUUGGGGAUGGACUCGCGGCUUAUCAGCUUGUUGGUGGGGUAGUGGCUUACCAAGGCUUUGACGGGUAGCCGGCCUGAGAGGGUGACCGGCCACAUUGGGACUGAGAUACGGCCCAGACUCCUACGGGAGGCAGCAGUGGGGAAUAUUGCACAAUGGGCGGAAGCCUGAUGCAGCAACGCCGCGUGCGGGAUGACGGCCUUCGGGUUGUAAACCGCUUUCGCCUGUGACGAAGCGUGAGUGACGGUAAUGGGUAAAGAAGCACCGGCUAACUACGUG